AUUGGACGCUGGCGGCAUGCCUUACACAUGCAAGUCGAACGGUAACGGGCCUUCGGGUGCCGACGAGUGGCGAACGGGUGCGUAAUACAUCGGAACGUGCCCGAUCGUGGGGGAUAACGAGGCGAAAGCUUUGCUAAUACCGCAUACGAUCUACGGAUGAAAGCAGGGGACCGCAAGGCCUUGCGCGGACGGAGCGGCCGAUGGCAGAUUAGGUAGUUGGUGGGAUAAAAGCUUACCAAGCCGACGAUCUGUAGCUGGUCUGAGAGGAUGAUCAGCCACACUGGGACUGAGACACGGCCCAGACUCCUACGGGAGGCAGCAGUGGGGAAUUUUGGACAAUGGGCGCAAGCCUGAUCCAGCCAUGCCGCGUGCAGGAUGAAGGCCUUCGGGUUGUAAACUGCUUUUGUACGGAACGAAAAGCCUUCUUUUAAUACAGGAGGGUCAUGACGGUACCGUAGGAAUAAGCACCGGCUAACUACGUG
rnacentral:rRNA from 1 species